rnacentral:rRNA from 1 species
UACAGAGGUCUCAAGCGUUGUUCGGAUUCAUUGGGCGUAAAGGGUGCGUAGGCGGCGCGGUAAGUCGGGUGUGAAAUUUCGGAGCUUAACUCCGAAACUGCAUUCGAUACUGCGGUGCUUGAGGACUGGAGAGGAGACUGGAAUUCCUGGUGUAGCGGUGAAAUGCGCAGAUAUCAGGAGGAACACCGGUGGCGAAGGCGGGUCUCUGGGCCGAUACUGACGCUGAGGAGCGAAAGCGUGGGGAGCGAACAGG